rnacentral:rRNA from 1 species
CAAGGUAAACGGGUGGGCCCUCGAAAUCCUUUCGGCGGGGGAUUCAGUCGGGAAGAGCCGGCUCCUACUCUGGCGAUUCGCACGGACCCUUUCAUUGGGCCGCGCCGGAGAGGGGUUCUCGGUUGGACCCGACGCACUUCCUCCCGCCCCUCGGACGCCGCAGCCGGUCGGGUAGAUGCGCGAGUCGGCCAUAAGGUCUGGCAACGGAAGGUGGCCGGUGGCGUACUUUGUGUGCGCGGCCGGUCGUUAUCCAGCCGGUCCGUGGCGCGACACCCGACCGAGGUCGAAGGUCCCCGUUAGGACCGUGCCGUCCCCUCCUCGACAAGUCGAGCGGGAGCGCUGGCAGGCGUUCCUCGCACGGCCGUCUCCACUCUGCGAGUGGGCGGGCGUUGUGGGGGCGCUGUUGGCGAGAGAUGCUCUCGCGCGGGGAAAGGCGGCUGGCGGCGAGUAGGUCGGUCACCCACCCGACCCGUCUUGAAACACGGACCAAGGAGUCUAACAUGUGCGCGAGUCAUUGGGUCUUGUUCAGGCCCAGAGGCGCAAUGAAAGUGAAGGUCGGCGGCACCGUCGUCCGAGUUGGGACUCUCCUUCCAUUCGUGGAGGGGAAGCACCAACGGCUCGCCCCGUCCGACGCGUCGGU